GCUGCAAAUUUGAUCAGAGCAGUGGAAGGGGAAAGAGAUGCUGAACACUUUCCCUAUAGGCUGAUGUCCAGCAGGUGCCAAAGAAAAACAAGGGGCCAAAGGGAGCCAGUGUAGUCCAGCAAGCAAAGUGAGCAGCGGGCAGGAGACUUAGAACAUGAAAUAAACAUGCAAUGGAUAAGGCGAAAAGAGCACAAAUCGUGUGUGGAAUCGGAUUCAAUGCCCCCCAACCCCGCCUGACCACAAACACUAGUGCCACAUCACACUGUUGACUCAUAUUCAGCUUGUGAUCAACGACAAUUCCAAGAUCCUUCUCACAUGUCGUACUGCUGAGCCAAGUAUCCCCUAUCUUAUAACUUUAAAAA